rfam:Cavia porcellus supercont2_98 genomic scaffold, whole genome shotgun sequence.
GGGGAUUUAGCUCAGCGGCAUAAGCGCCUGCCUUGCAAGCAGGCAGUCGUGAGUUCAAUCUCCG